AUCGUUCAUCCUGAUUUGUGCUGUUUGGCAGCCAAGCGUCGAAUUAAUUGACGGCAUUUGGGGACGGAAGUAGGGCUUUGCCCGAAGGAACGCGCC
rnacentral:ncRNA from 2 species